rnacentral:rRNA from 1 species
CUUAGUGAUCCGGUGGUUCCGCAUGGAAGGGCCAUCGCUCAACGGAUAAAAGCUACCCCGGGGAUAACAGGCUUAUCUCCCCCAAGAGUUCACAUCGACGGGGAGGUUUGGCACCUCGAUGUCGGCUCAUCGCAUCCUGGGGCUGUAGUCGGUCCCAAGGGUUGGGCUGUUCGCCCAUUAAAGCGGUACGCGAGCUGGGUUCAGAACGUCGUGAGACAGUUCGGUCCCUAUCCGUCGUGGGCGUAGGAAAUUUGAGAGGAGCUGUCCUUAGUACGAGAGGACCGGGAUGGACAUACCUCUGGUGUACCAGUUGUCGUGCCAACGGCAUAGCUGGGUAGCUAUGUAUGGACGGGAUAAGUGCUGAAAGCAUCUAAGCAUGAAGCCCCCCUCAAGAUGAGAUUUCCCAACUUCGGUUAUAAGAUCCCUCGAAGAUGACGAGGUUAAUAGGUUCGAGGUGGAAGCGUGGUGACACGUGGAGCUGACGAAUACUAAUCGAUCGAAGACUUAAUCAAU